GCGAGGGUGGCGGAACUGGCAGACGCGCUGGACUUAGAAUCCAGUGCCUUAAAGGCUUGAGGGUUCAAAUCCCUCCCCUCGCACCA
rnacentral:tRNA from 1 species